UACGUAGGGGGCAAGCGUUGUCCGGAUUCAUUGGGCGUAAAGAGCUCGUAGGCGGUUUGUUGCGUCGGCUGUGAAAUCCCGAGGCUCAACCUCGGGUCUGCAGUCGAUACGAGCAAACUAGAGUGUUGCAGGGGAGACUGGAAUUCCUGGUGUAGCGGUGAAAUGCGCAGAUAUCAGGAGGAACACCGGUGGCGAAGGCGGGUCUCUGGGCAACAACUGACGCUGAGGAGCGAAAGCGUGGGGAGCGAACAGG
rnacentral:rRNA from 1 species